CAGAGGGAAAGGAGGAAGGGAAGGAAGUGGGGCGGGGUAUCUAUCCUCUGCGCCCCCUGCCCCAAGCCCUGGCAGAGCGCAGGCGGGCGGCGGGCUCAGGACGGAGACGGGGGAGUCCCAGGCCCAGCUAGACACAGAGAGGCAGCCGCCCAUCACCUCCAGGAGACCCAGGAGGAGGACUACGGGAAGAAAGCCAGAUACCUCGCUGAUAACCAAACUGCUUGUUGAUUGGACUUCUGUGGACCAUUUUAUAAGGAACAAGGAUUCGCAAUCCUGAUACUGCUGUACAUGGACCCUGGACUUGGCGGAUGGUGGGAGCCCAUUGUCCCACUGGUGGUGUGGAAACAUUCCAAUAAGCAAGAGGGGGCUGACAUGAUCCAAGUGGUGAUGGAUUGGAGUCAGAAACGUCAGUAGGAACUCACGUUUAGGUGGAAAAGCUAGUCUCGUCAGACAAAUGCUGGUGAACACGUCAGUGGUGCAUAACCCUUUAGUAUGUGUUCACAAGAGCCUUACAUUGUUGUUCACAUGCGACUUUAAUAAUCUACCCUCAGGGCUGGCAAGCUGUUUCUGUAAAGGCCUGAAAGCAAAUAUUUUAGGCUUUGUGGGCUCCAUGGGCUCUGUAAAGACAAUGCCAUUCCGCCCCUUGUGGGACCUCAGUAGCCAUCAACAAGCCCAUGGGUGAGAGAGCAGGGCUGUGCUCCACUCAGACAGGGCACCACACCUGACCUGUAGUCUGCUGAUCCCUGAUCUCUUCUACAGAAUCAGAAAAGUGAAAGAAAAUACAUGAACAGGACCACAUGUGCUGUAUGAGCUCAACACUGGAAGAAGUACUUGUAGAGAAAAAUGUUAGCAGAAACUACUCGGAAACAUUAACCAGAUUUUUCCCUGGAUGGUAGAAUAAGAACUUUCCCCGCUUCUUAUUCCUACCAUUGCAUUUUCAUGUACUCAGAGUACGAAAAAGGAACCCAAAAGCCAGUCUCUGAAUUCGUACUUUCAUCAGAAAGCCAGAGAUUCCCAGGUCAAUUUAAGAUUUGGAAAUGUUCUUCUUGGUGACAGUUUUUUGAAUAUCCAUUCAAAAAACAACAACAAAAAAAAAACUUGAGUUAAUCUUCAUUCAAGUCUCCAUAUUUGGACAUUCAGAAGCCAUCUUUUGCAAUAUUGCUUGCUUCCAGUCAACUCAGAUUAUGGUUUUGAAUCUAUCGUUAGUUAUUCGUGAAAUGUUUCACUUCUUUCAGAGCUUCUGAAGCUUUAGGAGGAUCGCCUACAGGCACAAUAUUGGAAAAUGUUGCCUGCACUCCUCAAGCUCUUCUUAAUGACUCGUGUUCUUAAUAGCCUCUGUUUAAGUGACAAAAGAACCAGUGUUGUUAGGAGGGAUGUACAGUGCAUUACACAAGUUUACCCUGGCAAGCCACAGGCCCUGAUCUGGAAUCCUGUGUCAGCACUUUUUAGUCCCACGAACAUGGAUACAGAUGGGUGUGCAGGCUGCUCCCGGCUCUUCCCGGGGCCAACCAAAACAUGGAAAACAAAGGCCUUUAUAAGCUCAGUGCUGACCACAGUCCCUACAGCAUUGCUAAAGUCACAUUUUUCCUUUGACUUUCCAUCUAAAGAAUACCUCUCACCUGAGAGAAAUCAGAUUGUAUUCACAGGCCAGGACUCCAGCUUGUUCUAAUGAGGGUAUGUAAUUGCUCCCUCUGGAAAAGGGAAAAUGGAGCCUUGGUCUUUCUCUAAGAACUUAAAAAACAACCCAAUGAGUCUUUGAACACAGGACACAAACCAAGGACAACUAGUUAGCCUGGAGGACAGGCACGCAGUUGGCUGACACCAUGCAAAGAACAGAAAAUAAGGCCAUUAUCUGAGACCAUUCAAGGAAGGGAAAGAUACACUUUUUCAGCUUCGCCAGCACCUCGAAGAGCCCCAACUUAGCCACCAUAAAGUCAUCCUCUCCUGUCUUGCACACCAUCCAUUAUUCUCUCUCAGAAGGAAUUUUGUGCUAUUAUAAGUAAUCAUCCUAUUCUGGUUGAAACCUCUAGUUGCCUUACUAGAAACAUGCUCUUUGUGAGGGCAGAGACCACAGUCCUUUUGUUUUUAGUUUUUGUUGUGUGUGCUGUUUUCUAUAAUAAAUACGUGAUAAACAUUUGUUGAAUGCAUAGAUGAAUCACAGAAUAAUUGUAGAAAGACCCCGGAUUACUAAUCAGACAGUGUGUGUUCUAGUCUGGCUCUAUCAACUGUGAGAUAUAAUAAUUAGGUUCCCACCAUGAUGGGAACACCCACCCCAAAUCUUAGUAACUUACCUGGAAAAGCACUAACUUUUGCCCACAUCACAAGUCUGCAUGUUUGCUGAAGCUCUGCUAGGCUUGGUUACAACCAGCCUUCAGGUUGGAGUCAGGCUGGCUCCCCACAUCUCCGCAUUCUGGGACAAUCUUCUACUUGGAGCAUGUUUUCAUUGUGAAUGGCAGAGGCAUGAAGGGGAGAGAGGAAACACACAUACCUCUUCAAGCCUCAGCUUGGAACUGACACACUGUCACUUCUGCCUACUUUCCAUUGACCAAAGCAAAGCAUAUGGCCAAGCCCAAGCUCAGAGAGCAGGGAAAUAGACAACAGUCACACAGUAUUCCACAGCGAGGAAGAGGAGGGAAGGGAGAAUUGUGGACAAAUAAUAUUGCCUAUAACAUUAGACAAGCA